UUCGGUCCUCGGUAGUGAUGUCCGGAAAAAAGUUCUUUUCCGUGCGUCUCGAUCGAUGACCGGG
ncrna:unclassified sequences Actino-pnp RNA